UUGAGCGCUGGCGGAAUGCUUUACACAUGCAAGUCGGGCGGCAGCGCGGGGGCAACCCUGGCGGCGAGCGGCGAAUGGGUGAGUAACAUAUUGGAACGUACCCAGACGUGGGGGACAACUAGUCGAAAGACUAGCUAAUACCGCAUACGUCCUGAGGGAGAAAGCGGGGGAUCGCAAGACCUCGCGCGUUUGGAGCGGCCGAUAUCUGAUUAGCUAGAUGGUGGGGUAAAGGCCCACCAUGGCGACGAUCAGUAGCUGGUCUGAGAGGAUGAUCAGCCACACUGGAACUGAGACACGGUCCAGACUCCUACGGGAGGCAGCAGUGGGGAAUUUUGGACAAUGGGGGAAACCCUGAUCCAGCCAUUCCGCGUGAGUGAAGAAGGCCUUCGGGUUGUAAAGCUCUUUCGGCAGGAACGAAACGGCGGAAUCUAAUACAUUCCACUAAUGACGGUACCUGAAGAAGAAGCACCGGCUAACUACGU
rnacentral:rRNA from 1 species